rnacentral:lncRNA from 1 species
UAGAGAUCACACUUGCUGGUUGAGAGGCGGAUUGAUGGAUCUGAAGCAGCAAAAGUCUGCAUCCAGAUUUCUAAGUCCAGUCUGUCAGAAAAGGUUGCUGAUGGAAUUCCUGUGCCAAAUGCAUAAUUGAGGAACAGCAGAGAGCUGGAAAAAGGCUCCAAGAUAAGGGAUCUCUGGCCCUCACUGGCCACCAAAGAGCUAUUGUGGAAAUCUGGAGAUACCAGCACCAUCAGUGCAAGGGCCAGCUUGAGGAAGAAGGAAUUGCAGCUCUUCCUGCCUGCAAAAGUAUGACGGCUUGGAGGGUCCAUCUGCAAAUCCUAAAGAGCCUGUUUAUGUAA